CACGGACAUCGGCCAUAAGCCGAUGACACACAAGAGGUUGGGACCUCGGCUAGGACGACAUCAUCAAGCACCUACCGAUCUCCUUCCAUUCUAUCCCAGCCUUCUGUGCACCGUCUUCCAGUUCGGAUACCAUGGGACUCCUCUAGCGCACGGAAUCUAGCAUGUCAACGUUCUAUGACAGUGGUCCACUACAUCCCGAACGUGGGCGACCAGCACUGCAAAAACUCGCUGAUACUACUA
rnacentral:lncRNA from 1 species